AGUACCCUGCAGGUGCUGCAGGUGUGGCCACUGUGUCACCUGUGCAUCAGUAGAUGGCAGGGAGGAGACAGGAUAUUUCCGUGCUCAGUGUUCUGACCUGUAUACAUCUGAAUGAUAAGUAGCCUAGUAUU